rnacentral:rRNA from 1 species
UGAGGAAUAUUGCUCAAUGGGCGCAAGCCUGAACCAGCCAUCCCGCGUGAAGGAUGAAGGCCCUAUGGGUCGUAAACUUCUUUUAUACACCAAGAAAAAGCAGGACGUGUCCUGCCCCGACGGUAGUGUAUGAAUAAGCAUCGGCUAACUCCGUGCCAGCAGCCGCGGUAAUACGGAGGAUGCAAGCGUUAUCCGGAUUCAUUGGGUUUAAAGGGUGCGUAGGCGGCUUUUUAAGUCAGUGGUGAAAUCCUGUCGCUUAACGAUAGAAUUGCCAUUGAUACUGAAGAGCUUGAGUACAAUUGAGGUAAGCGGAAUGUGUAGUGUAGCGGUGAAAUGCUUAGAUAUUACACAGAACACCGAUUGCGGAGGCAGCUUACUAAACUGUUACUGACGCUGAUGCACGAAAGCGUGGGGAGCGAACA